AAACCUCUUUUAGCAGGGAAGAAGCGAAAGUGACGGUACCUGCAGAAAAAGCGCCGGCUAACUACGUGCCAGCAGCCGCGGUAAUACGUAGGGCGCAAGCGUUAUCCGGAAUUAUUGGGCGUAAAGAGCUCGUAGGCGGUUUGUCGCGUCUGCUGUGAAAUCCCGAGGCUCAACCUCGGGCCUGCAGUGGGUACGGGCAGACUAGAGUGCGGUAGGGGAGAUUGGAAUUCCUGGUGUAGCGGUGGAAUGCGCAGAUAUCAGGAGGAACACCGAUGGCGAAGGCAGAUCUCUGGGCCGUAACUGACGCUGAGGAGCGAAAGGGUGGGGAGCAAACAGGCAUAGAUACCCUGGUAGUCCACCCCGUAAACGUUGGGAACUAGUUGUGGGGACCAUUCCACGGUUUCCGUGACGCAGCUAACGCAUUAAGUUCCCCGCCUGGGGAGUACGGCCGCAAGGCUAAAACUCAAAGGAAUUGACGGGGACCCGCACAAGCGGCGGAGCAUGCGGAUUAAUUCGAUGCAACGCGAAGAACCUUACCAAGGCUUGACAUAUACGAGAACGGGCCAGAAAUGGUCAACUCUUU
rnacentral:rRNA from 1 species